rnacentral:lncRNA from 1 species
GCUGGCCCUCAGAGGUGAUCAGGAGCAGAGAGGACAUGGAGACGGAUGAAGAUAAGCAAUGACAGAAGCCACCACCGGGAGGGCAAAAUCCUCGCUUGAGAUUGACCAGCAACUGUAAAUUCCAGUAAACAGGAUUUCAGCUUUGGAUGGGGUGGUGGGGGAUACAUAAACAUAAAACACCAAAGGCAACAACAGGCAUGGUCAGUUUUCAAUGUAGAAGCCUCCAGGGUUUAUGUGCAUUGGUCUGCAGUUAAACUACCACAAGGAAGUACAAUUCAGACAGCACAGUGCUACUAUACCGAAGGACACGAUACCAGGCUUCUUACUGUACUGUAUAUGACAUCUCCCACAUCUCCAUCAGUGGACUUGUAGGACUGGCGCAGUGAGAUGCUGCAUCUCUAAUGGCC